rnacentral:rRNA from 1 species
GAUCAUGGCUCAGGAUGAACGCUAGCUACAGGCUUAACACAUGCAAGUCGAGGGGCAGCAUGGUCUUAGCUUGCUAAGGCCGAUGGCGACCGACGCACGGGUGAGUAACACGUAUCCAACCUGCCGUCUACUCUUGGACAGCCUUCUGAAAGGAAGAUUAAUACAGGAUGGCAUCAUGAGUCCGCAUGUUCACAUGAUUAAAGGUAUUCCGGUAGACGAUGGGG